AUAGUUCUGUGGGAAGGAGCAGAAAAGAGCAUUGUGGCUUCAGUUUAAUAUCUGAUAUGUUCUUUAUUUGAGAACUGUAUGUUAAAUUGAUUUUUGAAACAGGGGGCUGGAAUAGGAGCUUGCUGUGUCCACCCCAUGCAUUGACCUGGUAUUGCAGUGUCUCUAGGACUGGUGCAUCUCCU